UUUAGUCCUUUCAGAGGAACCUGCCCCAUAAUCGAUACCCCACGUUAGACCUUACUUAAUCUUGUUAAUCAGUUUGUAUAUCGCCGUCGUCAGAAUGUCCUAAAAGGGUUCGAAUUUUCUUUAUUUCUAAUAAUUAAAAGGAUGUCAGGUCAAGGUGCAGUUUAUGGUUAAGUGGAGGUGGGUUACAAUAAAUGUAUUUAUACGGAUAAUUAUUUGAAAAUUAAUAAUUUGAAGGUGGAUUUGAAUGUAAUUUUGUAUAGGAUAAUAUAUUGAUUUAUGGCUCUAAAACAUGCACACAUCGCCCGUCGCUCUCGUUACUUAAGAUGAGAUAAGUCGUAACAUAGUAG
rnacentral:rRNA from 1 species